GUGUCAGCAGCCGCGGUAAUACGUAGGUCCCGAACGUUGCGCGAAUUUACUGGGCGUAAAGGGUCCGUAGGCGGUCUGGUAAGUGGAAGGUGAAAUCCUGGGGCUCAACUCCGGAACUGCAUUCGAUACUGGUCGGCUAGGGUUCGAGAGGGGGAUGCGGAAUUCCGCGUGUAGCAGUGAAAUGCGUAGAUAUGCGGAGGAACACCUGAGGCGAAGGCGGCAUCCUGGAUCGACACUGACGCUGAGGCCCGAAAGCGUGGGGAGCAAACAGGAUUAGAUACCCUGGUAGUCCACGCCCUAAACGAUGUCUACUAGCCGUUGCGGGUAUCGACCCCUGCAGUGGCGCAGCUAACGCGAUAAGUAGACCGCCUGGGGAGUACGGCCGCAAGGUUAAAACUCAAAUGAAUUGACGGGG
rnacentral:rRNA from 1 species